CUUGUGAAUACUCUUCCAGCCCAGGUGAUAGAUACUGUCAUGCAGUUUUUAUGCGUCGUCUGUGAUCCUGCUUGUUGCUUGUCCCCUAACAGAUAAUGCGCAGUGGAGGUGUCCAAGGGCACCACACAUCCCCGUGGACCCCCCUGAGCUUCCCACUGACAGGUCAGCAGAGCCCUUUCGGCCUGUUUCCGGGCCAGCUUCAGCUCCCGAAUCCUGCUCAGAACGAUGGAACACGUCCCACUGUAAAGACACUGCCCUCACAAAGGAAACUGCAGGAGCGGAUUUUGUCCUGAGGGUAGCUACCAGAAGGAGUCUGAAGACGACAAAAAUGGACAGGAACAUCCAGGUUGUGCCCUUGAGCAAAGCACUUAAUCAAUAGAAUGCUACAAGGACCCCUUUUCAUCUUUUCUCCGC
ensembl:lncRNA